CAUGAAAUGAAAUGUAUGUUGCUCUGGAUAAGAGCGUCUGCUAAAUGACUAAAA
rfam:Salmo salar isolate Sally breed double haploid chromosome ssa14, whole genome shotgun sequence.